GUGCUUGCUUAAAUAGCACAUAUACUAAAAUUGGAACCAUACAGAGAAGAUUAGCAUGGCACCUGUGCAAGGAUGACAAGCAAAUUCAUGCAGUGUUCCACAUUUUU
rnacentral:snRNA from 1 species